rnacentral:rRNA from 1 species
AACGAACGGAUAAAGAGCUUGCUCUUUUGAAGUUAGUGGCGGACGGGUGAGUAACGCGUGGGGAAA